AUUGAACGCUGGCGGCAUGCUUUACACAUGCAAGUCGAACGGUAACAGGCCGCAAGGUGCUGACGAGUGGCGAACGGGUGAGUAAUGCAUCGGAACGUGCCCAGUCGUGGGGGAUAACGCAGCGAAAGCUGCGCUAAUACCGCAUACGAUCUCUGGAUGAAAGCGGGGGACCGAAAGGCCUCGCGCGAUUGGAGCGGCCGAUGUCAGAUUAGGUAGUUGGUGGGGUAAAGGCCCACCAAGCCAACGAGAUGUAGCUGGCCUGAGAGGACGACCAGACACACUGGGACUGGAACAAGGCCCAGACUCCGACGGGAGGCAGCAGUGGGGAAUUUUGGACAAUGGGCGCAAGCCUGAUCCGGCAAUGCCGCGUGCAGGAAGAAGGCCUUCGGGUUGUAAACUGCUUUUGUACGGAACGAAACGGUCCGGGCUAAUACCCUGGGCUAAUGACGGUACCGUAAGAAUAAGCACCGGCUAACUACGUGCCAGCAGCCGCCGUAAAAC
rnacentral:rRNA from 1 species